rnacentral:rRNA from 1 species
AGCAUAUCAAUAAGCGGAGGAAAAGAAACCAACAGGGAUUACCUCAGUAACGGCGAGUGAAGCGGUAACAGCUCAAAUUUGAAAUCUGGGUCUUUCAGGCUCCGAGUUGUAAUUUGUAGAAGAUGCUUUGGGUGCGGCCCCGGUCUAAGUUCCUUGGAACAGGACGUCAUAGAGGGUGAGAAUCCNGUAUGUGAUCGGUGGCUUGCGCCCGUGUAAAGCUCUUUCGACGAGUCGGGUUGUUUGGGAAUGCAGCUCUAAAUGGGUGGUAAAUUUCAUCUAAAGCUAAAUAUUGGCCAGAGACCGAUAGCGCACAAGUAGAGUGAUCGAAAGAUGAAAAGCACUUUGGAAAGAGAGUUAAACAGUACGUGAAAUUGUUGAAAGGGAAGCGCUUGCAACCAGACUUGCGCGGGGUUGAUCAUCCGGGGUUCUCCCCGGUGCACUCGGCCUCGCUCAGGCCAGCAUCGGUUUCGGUGGUUGGAUAAAGGCCUUGGGAAUGUGACUCCUUUCGGGGAGUGUUAUAGCCCUCGGUGCAAUGCAGCCUACCGGGACCGAGGACCGCGCUUCGGCUAGGAUGCUGGCGUAAUGGUUGUAAGCGACCCGUCUUGAAACACGGACCAAGGAGUCUAACAUCUAUGCGAGUGUUUGGGUGUCAAACCCAUACGCGUAAUGAAAGUGAACGGAGGUGAGAACCCUUAAGGGUGCAUCAUCGACCGAUCCUGAUGUCUUCGGAUGGAUUUGAGUAAGAGCAUAGCUGUUGGGACCCGAAAGAUGGUGAACUAUGCCUGAAUAGGGUGAAGCCAGAGGAAACUCUGGUGGAGGCUCGCAGCGGUUCUGACGUGCAAAUCGAUCGUCAAAUUUGGGUAUAGGGGCGAAAGAC